AUUGAACGCUGGCGGCAGGACUAACACAUGCAAGUCGAACGAGUGGCGGACGGGUGAGUAAUGUCUGGGAAACUGCCUGAUGGAGGGGGAUAACUACUGGAAACGGUAGCUAAUAACGCAUAGCAUCGGGCUUGCCCCGGUGGGAUUAGCUAGUAGGGGGGGUAAAGGCUCACCUAGGCGACGAUCCCUAGCUGGUCUGAGAGGGUGACCAGCCACACUGGAACUGAGACACGGUCCAGACUCCUACGGUGGGCAGCAGUGGGGAAUAUUGCACAAUGGGCUGAAGCCUGAUGCAGCCAUGCCGCGUGUAUGAAGAAGGCCUUCGGGUUGUAAAGUACGUUCAGCGGGGAGGCGUUACCCGCAGAAGAAGCACCGGCUAACUCCGUGCCAGCAGCCGCGGUAAUAC
rnacentral:rRNA from 1 species